GACGAACGCUGGCGGCGUGCUUAACACAUGCAAGUCGAACGGUGAAGCGCCUUCCUUUUUGGUGGGUGUGGAUGAGUGGCGAACGGGUGAGUAACACGUGAGUAACCUGCCCCCUUCUUCUGGAUAACCGCAUGAAAGUGUGGCUAAUACGGGAUAUUCUGGGUCUGUCGCAUGAUGGGUCUGGGAAAGAUAUUGUUUCGGUGGGGGAUGGGCUCGCGGCCUAUCAGCUUGUUGGUGGGGUGAUGGCCUACCAAGGCGGUGACGGGUAGCCGGCCUGAGAGGGUGGACGAUCACACUGGGACUGAGACACGGCCCAGACUGCUACGGGAGGCAGCAGUGGGGAAUAUUGCACAAUGGGCGCAAGCCUGAUGCAGCGACGCCGCGUGAGGGAUGGAGGCCUUCGGGUUGUGAACCUCUUUCGCCAGUGAAGCAGGCCUGCCUCGUUUGUGGGUGGGUUGACGGUAGCUGGAUAAGAAGCGCCGGCUAACUACGUG
rnacentral:rRNA from 1 species